GGAAUUGUGCGGGAAGUAAUUGAUGAACAUGUAGCCCCGCGCCUGAUCGAUCGUGUGGAACAGCGGGUUCCAAUCGAAGAUCGCGAGCAUCCAUGCGGGCAGAGAGUUGGCGACGAACAUCUUUCCGGAGGUGAUCAUGUUGGCUCGCGUG
rnacentral:ncRNA from 1 species